rnacentral:rRNA from 1 species
UACGAACUGUGCGAACGUUAUUCGGAAUCACUGGGCUUAAAGGGUGCGUAGGCGGCUAUUCAGGUCAGGUGUGAAAGCCCCCGGCUCAACCGGGGAACUGCGCUUGAAACCGAGUGGCUCGAGUCAGCUAGAGGUACACGGAACUUCCAGUGGAGCGGUGAAAUGUGUUGAUAUUGGAAGGAACACCGGAGGCGAAAGCGGUGUACUGGGGCUGGUCUGACGCUGAGGCACGAAAGCCAGGGGAGCGAACGGG